rfam:Sporobacter termitidis DSM 10068 genome assembly, contig: EK05DRAFT_scaffold00006.6
GCGGCGGUAUCUUUAUGAGCUGCACGCGGCAAGAGGCUUAUUCCGGCAUGUAAAAAACCUGCUUUGAUCCUUAGUGACAGAGACAGUUAU